rnacentral:lncRNA from 1 species
UCAUCCUUUGCUUUACAAAUCGAUCUCCUUGGUUCCUUAAGUGAGGUCCAAUUGGUUGACAUUGUGGUUUGUCUUUGUGUGUAAACUUGCAGCUUCAGAAAAGAGAAGAUGAGCUACAGAGACAGCAGAAGGAAACACUUUCUCUGCAACAGAAAAAGGAUGAUCUUACUGAAGUACCUCACUAUAUAUUGAAUAUGUAACUCCAUAUUGCUGCUCUCUGGGAACGUGGAGCUGCAGAAGCCUUGACUCUUUUGGGCUGAGACAAGAGAUUUCCACAAGUCCACCAGAUUCAUCUAUACCUAAGUGUGUUACAGGCUCCUUGUAGAAGCACCUUGCUGGCUCAAUUGCCAUCACAGCUGGAAGACUGAAAGAUGAUUGUUCAAGAGCACAGGCAGCCUUCAGUGGACAAUCAGAAUGUGCCUACAGCUGGAGAAACUCACUGGCAUGACGCCUUUGUUGCUCAUAAAUCUGAUUUCACAGAACUUGAAAAGAAGUUGGAUGAUACCAAAAAGGAACUGGAGGAGGUGCAUGCUAAUCUUGUCAUGGUCAUGCAGCAACUUGAUUUGGCAAGAGCUGAGGUACAACAGUGUAUUUGACUAUCAUCUGAAUGAAUGCUGCAAUAUCAGUUGGUAGGUUGUCAGUUUUGUGGUGGUGGUUAGUGAAUGCUGCUUGUAAAUUUAUUCCUCUUCACUGCUUCUUCUGCUGUUGAUUUUUUUUUUUUUUUAAUAGAAGGAAAUUUUAUUCUGAAUGUCCGUAUUUCCGUAUACCAAUAUAGAGUAACUGAUUUCAGUGGCACUAUUGUAUAUUUUUAUAUGUGUAAGAUCAGGAUAUGCCUCUUCAUAAAGUAAACUUGUAAAGCCCAUUUUUCAUGCUGAUUUUCUUUAAAACAAAUCUCUUCAAUUUCAAGUUAAGAAACACAUACACACCAACUUUAAUAAUGUGAAUCAUGGUAUUGUGAAAAGGAGGAAAGAAAUAGAGGAGUUUUGUUGAUAAAUCUAGUAAAACAUACUCCAUUGAUUAACACUGUGUAAUAUCAACCUCAUAGGCAACUUAAAACAGGAAAAUGCUGGUUUUAUGCCCAAAUAUUAUUGUUUUCCAAUUUAAUUUUAAAUACUCUGAAAAUAUGCAGCUUCUUUUGCUAGCCGCAGGAAGACACUAGCAGUAGAAGUAGUAUGGCAAAAAACUAAUUUUUUCAUAAGAUUUAUAAAGCAUUAUACUAUUCACAUAGUUAGACACAGAUCAGAAUAAUUCUGGACUAAAAGUUUAGGUGGAAGGUAAUGAUGGAAUAGAAAUUCAGUUUUCUUAUUUUUCCUUGUUCAUUGUAAAUAGUAGAAAACCAAUAUAUUAGACUCUUUAUCUUCUGUUGAAAAUUUCCUUUUGAUAUGUUCUAAUUAUAAAAGCUAAAUUAUUAUUAGCUUAUUUUGUUAACUAUACAUUUUAGUACAGAACUCAGCCAGUAUUUGGAAGUUCAUACCUUAGUGAGCAGAGGAAAAUAAUGCAAACAUACCUGUAUUAAUUUAUUCAAAAAUUUGGAGCUAGACCUGAUCCUUUGUCUUAUUGAACUUUUAUUUAAUGGCUAAAGCACAAUUCUUUUAAACAUGUUUAAUGAAAUAAUAGAAAUACAACUUAUUAACAUAAAUUAUGAGUCUGCCAUAUGACUGACAUUAAAAAGAAAUAUUAAUUUACCUGUGUAUUCUGUGAUUAGUGAUAAUUGUAUAAUUGUAGUUUAAAGGCAUGUUGAUGGAUCUAAUAGGUACAAAAAGUUUCUGUACAGGUAUGUUUGCAAUCUUACAAGGAUGUAGUCAUUUGUCUCGGUAUACAAAUAUGUACAAAUCCUAGCAUUGCAGUGAAAAUCCAAUAAUGAUUUAAUUGCAUCAAACAUGUUUGCAUUCUACGGUUUUAUAUUCUGUUACUGAAACACCAGUGUGUAAUAUUCAGUAAUCCUAAAUGAUAUACUGUGGGAUGCUGCCUGUAUUAUAUGAUGAGAAUACUUUGAGUUAGGUUUUGUCAUAAUGGUGUACUGUAUAAUAUAUUUUAUUAUCUAGAGAAAUUACAUUAUGCUAAGGAACUUAAAAAAAAAAAAGUUUCUUUCCCUUCAUUUUUUUUGUUAGCUUUUCUAUAAUGUUUUCAAUAAAUUAAUUUUACAUAUUGCCUCAUCUUCCUUAUUUAUAUUUUAAGAACCUUUUUUUUUAAGAUUAGAAAUAAUGAUAAAAUCAUUGCUUACUGAAGCAAGCAGACUUUGAAUCCAGCUAUGCACAUUAGAAGGAUGUUACACACUGCACACUUUUAAUAAUGAUCAUUUAGAAGAUAAUUUUAGCAUCCACACAAGGGAAAAAUGGAUUUUUGAUGAGUUCUUAUAUGACCAUAUGUGGUAUUAGUCAGUGUGAGGUAUUGCUAGCAAGCUCAUUGCUUUCAAAAAUCAAAGUUAAAUGGUUCAUCUAUCAUCAGAAUUUGUGUCUGGGCGACUUGUCUGAACAUCAGUAUGAUUUAUGGUUUGAAUUGGAGGAGUCAACCAUGCAUGUUUCUUAGUUUAUCGUUUUAUGCUGUCUUCAAUUAAAUGUCUAUAAACACAGUGAUGGCUUUAUGACAUUGUCCAUCAAUAAAGACUAUCAGAUUUUGCAUGAGAAUAUAUAAUUUUCAUAAAAAAUAAUGACCUUUUGACUUCUAUGUGCCCUGUUGUACACAUGAUAUAUAUGACAUGUUUAGACUUCAGUUUUUAUCCCAGAUCCAUUUGAUUUUAAUCUUGGAGACUAAUUAAGACAGUGACCAUAUUUUAUUUAACAUAAUUCAGAUAGACUACCAUCUAGGAUUUUUUGAUGAAACUAUCAAAUAGUGAUAUAUUCUGCAAUAAUAGUCAG